ACUAGGUGUGACACUGCUGAAGUGAGUUGCUAUAAUAUAUCAAACAAUGUUUAGCAACCCUUUUCAGCUCUAUCAUGCCUUAA
rnacentral:pre_miRNA from 1 species